AGUGAACGCUGGCGGUAGGCCUAACACAUGCAAGUCGAACGGCAGCACAGUAAGAGCUUGCUCUUACGGGUGGCGAGUGGCGGACGGGUGAGGAAUACAUCGGAAUCUACUUUUUCGUGGGGGAUAACGUAGGGAAACUUACGCUAAUACCGCAUACGACCUACGGGUGAAAGCAGUGGAUCUUCGGACCUUGCGCGAUUGAAUUAGCCGAUGUCGGAUUAGCUAGUUGGCGGGGUAAAGGCCCACCAAGGCGACGAUCCGUAGCUGGUCUGAGAGGAUGAUCAGCCACACUGGAACUGAGACACGGUCCAGACUCCUACGGGAGGCAGCAGUGGGGAAUAUUGGACAAUGGGCGCAAGCCUGAUCCAGCCAUACUGCGUGGGUGAAGAAGGCCUUCGGGUUGUAAAGCCCUUUUGUUGGGAAAGAAAAGCAGCAGGUUAAUACCCCGCUGUUCUGACGGUACCCAAAGAAUAAGCACCGGCUAACUUCGUG
rnacentral:rRNA from 1 species